UAAAUUUAUAUAAUGCAAAAGUAAGUUUAUUUCAUAUGCUAAUUUAGAGGCUUUCUUAAUAUGUUUAAUUAUAAAGAAAAAAAAAAAGCGUUGCAAUUCUUGUUCACUGACCAAUGGCAAAGCAGACACUUUCUACUUCCGGUUGUGGCGGGAUAUUUGUGAAGUCAGCACUCAGCAAUGGCGGUCGAAAAGAAUGGUAAAGUCGCAAAGAAUACUGUUUGUUCGUGGAUUGGCGUUUGUGACUGAAUCCAUCGAAGUUACUAAUUAUUUGAAGAAAUCUGGGCAGUCAGCACCCUGCUGAAUUGUAGUAAACGAGACGUCCAAUCUACUAGACCAUCAAAGAUGCAGAUUUGGAUUUUCUAUUUCAUAGUUAUUGAAAUCAUAAUGGAGCUGUUCUCAAAACAUUGGGUGACAAAGAAUUCACUUUUACAAAAAUCGAGCAGGAUAUUAAAGACAGCGAACUAUAGAACAAAUAUGGCGAAGCUGCAUGAAGUCUAUGUUGAAUUUUAUUAUUGAAAAAAAUAUGCUCUUCAGAUUUAAUGUUAGUUUUUAUUGUUUAACAGUAAUUGCAGUUUUCGAAUACCUGUAAAAUAAACCUAAUUCUUAAA